rnacentral:rRNA from 1 species
CUUGAAAUACCACCCUUUAAUGUUUGAUGUUCUAACGUUGGCCCCUGAUCGGGGUUGCGGACAGUGUCUGGUGGGUAGUUUGACUGGGGCGGUCUCCUCCUAAAGAGUAACGGAGGAGCACGAAGGUUGGCUAAUCCUGGUCGGACAUCAGGAGGUUAGUGCAAUGGCAUAAGCCAGCUUGACUGCGAGCGUGACGGCGCGAGCAGGUGCGAAAGCAGGUCAUAGUGAUCCGGUGGUUCUGAAUGGAAGGGCCAUCGCUCAACGGAUAAAAGGUACUCCGGGGAUAACAGGCUGAUACCGCCCAAGAGUUCAUAUCGACGGCGGUGUUUGGCACCUCGAUGUCGGCUCAUCACAUCCUGGGGCUGAAGUAGGUCCCAAGGGUAUGGCUGUUCGCCAUUUAAAGUGGUACGCGAGCUGGGUUUAGAACGUCGUGAGACAGUUCGGUCCCUAUCUGCCGUGGGCGAUGGAGAACUGAGGGGGGCUGCUCCUAGUACGAGAGGACCGGAGUGGACGCAUCACUGGUGUUCGGGUUGUCAUGCCAAUGGCACUGCCCGGUAGCUAAAUGCGGAAGAGAUAAGUGCUGAAAGCAUCUAAGCACGAAACUUGCCCCGAGAUGAGUUCUCCCUGAGACUUUAAGUCUCCUGAAGGAACGUUGAAGACGACGACGUUGAUAGGCCGGGUGUGUAAGCGCAGCGAUGCGUUGAGCUAACCGGUACUAAUGAACCGUGAGGCUUAACCUU